rnacentral:lncRNA from 1 species
CAGCAUAUCUUAUAUAUCCCAACUUUACAGAGGGUGAUAAAUACACAUCAAACAUCAAUAAUACAGAUCAACUUGGAACCUUUUCCCCAUUCUCCUUAUGGGUCAAGUCACGUGCAUUAACUACUCCUGGAUUUUCUUACCUAAGAUAUUGAUUAUAAAUGUCCAUCGGGACGGCAGCGAUAACACCUUUUUACCGGUGCUCUGCUCUGAAAAUCUAAGCCUACCACUUCAUGCGUCGAUAAUUUCGACGCAAUAAUUUCUAUUAUUGGACUUCACUGUCGUCACUUCACUCAUCUUUCUCGCUAACUGUACUCGACGUGCUUUCAACUUCAAACUACACUUCUGCUUCCCUCCUUCCUCCCACUACCCCGCAUUUGCACGUUCCAACCAGCGCUUCAAGGUUCCGGUGGUAGAUGGCGCCAAAGCGCUGCGCUGGAGUUGAGACGGACAGCCGCGCGCGCGUGGCCGCCUUAACGACGCAGAUGGUAACUGACGUAACGCUUAGUUCGCUAGUGCGUCAAGUCAGUCAGUCAGCUAUAGCCAAGAUUUAAAAUACAUAUAUAUAUUUUUAAUGAUUUGUAGCCUAAACGUUUGUGUUGAAAGUGAGCUGUAGUUUCGUUUUUUGCCUGCCAAAAACGUUUUAAUUCUUUGUUUUACUGCUGCACCUUGCUUAAUAAAGGUGUAUGUAAUGCUAGCUAGCUAACAGCUUGCUAACUGUUAACCGUUUGACCGUCCCUGUUUGUGAGACCUGUUGAAAUGGAUGACCAUGAUUCCCUGGGCAGUAUGGACAGUUUACUUCUCCAGCUAGCUCUGCAAACCAGGGACAUCGCUCAGAAGAGGGAUCAGAUCAAUCAACAGAUUCAAAUCGGCAAAGCCAAUGUUGCUGAGAAGAAAUCCUACAUCAUAGGGAUCCAGAAAAACAUCAGGAAGCUUGAGGAGGAAUCUCAUCAUAAGCAGAACAUUGUGAAGCAUCUCAAAGGCAAUACGAAAAGUCUAAAGGGAACUAACGGCCUCCUGCUGCAGUAUGAGAAGACGCUGCAGGCUGAAUUGGAGAGGAGACGAGACAACUGUAAUCAAGACAUGAAAGUGUACCAGGAGAGAAUAGAGCGCUACAGGAAGGUUUUCCAGCAGCACAAAGAGAGUUACUACCAGAACCCUCUGGCCAAGCAGCUGCUGAUGAUUCAGUCAGGAAAAGAAGAGCUGGAAAGCAGGAUUAAAGUUUGUGAGGACCAGAUAACAGCCAAAGAGAAGGCUCUGCAGGAUCUACUAGGUCAAACAUUGUCCAUCGAAAAUCCAUUGGAAAGCAUCUCUGGUCUAUUGACGGCAGCAGAGUCUCACAGACAGUCAUCGGCUCAGACUGAGGAUGACCAUCAGUCUCCACUAGACAUCUCCUCCCUCCAUGUUUCCCAGGAUGGCCAUGAGAAACACGGAGAGGGAAUUGAAGAGCAUCUAGAGAAGACCGUUGCUCACCCUCCAUCACAAGGAGACACACACUGUGACCUGUGGUCAUACCCAGAGGCAAUGGAUGGAAUACACGCUUCAGACCAGGAGGAGGGAAGUUUACUAGAGGAACAGAAGGAGUGUCUGAACACCUCCAGUACAGUGGGGAUGGAGGAGGUGAAGGAGAGGGGGACUGAGGGAGGAGACGAACAGCCUACACCCCUCAUUACUGAGGCGGAGGAGGAUGAAGGGAUGGGAGCAGCAUUCUCUCCUCAGACUCCUAAUAGAAUGAAAGCUGUGUCCAGCACCCCAACCUUCUCCCUGAACAGGAGCCACAGUGGGUCACCUAGUCAGCUAGACGGAUCCACAGUAAAAUCCCCAGGCUUCCUGUUCUCCAUGAGCUCAGCUCCUAGCCCCACCACCCCUGACUUCUCUGGCUUCCACUGUGGCUUUGAACUGGGCUCAGGCCAGGAGGAAGAGCCUCCUUUCCCCUUCAGCAGCUCAUAUUUCAGCAGUGAAAAGAAACCGUCAGGAUCCAGAUCGCCAUCAGGCUUCCUGUUUGCCCGGCCAGAGUCGGAGAAGUCAGAAGAUGGAUUUGAGUUCCCCUUCAGCUCUAAGAGUCCUGGUCAACCGUCAACCAGCAGAGAGAAGGGAUCAGGGGCUGGGGACUCCUUCCCUUUCUCCUUUAACUUCUAGCACAUCUUACUGUAAAACUUCAUGUAUGCUUCAAAUGGCACCCUAUUCCUUAUAUAGUGCACUACUUUUGCCCAGGGCCAUGUAGUGUUCUAGGGCAAUAGGGCGCCAUUUGGAUGCAUCCUGAGAUUCUUCCUCGUUACUGUACAUGAGUUCCAUUUCAUGUUUGGUUAUUUCUAGAAAUAUGCAGAGGACUUCAACACAACUCUUUGUUGUUGUUAUGCACUGUAGAUCUGUUUUAGCGGUUGUUAAUAUUUACUCUAGUAAUUAGUUGAAUCAACUGUUGUAUGAAAAUUACUACCUUAUAAGAUAAAGUACCAUCUAGACUUAAACUUCGCUGUUUGUUCAUAAGUCAUUUAUAAUUAUUUAAAACUUAAUUGUAUUAAUAUUUAACUAAAUAAAAUCAGAUAAAAACAUACAUUUGUGUCAAGUUGGCUGGAUGUCCUUUGGGUGGUGGACCAUUCUUGAUACACACAGGAAACUGUUGAGCGUGAAAAACACAGCAGCUUUGCAGUUCUUGACACAAACCGGUGCACCUGGCACUUACUACCAUACCCUGUUAAAAAGGCACUUAAAUCUUUUGUCUUGCCCAUUCACUCUCUGAAUGUCACACAUACACAAUCCAUGUCUUAAUUGUCUCAAGGCUUAAAAAUCCUUCUUUAACCUGUCUCCUCCCCUUCAUCUACACUUAUUGAAGUGGAUUUAACAAGUGACAUCAACAAGGGAGCAUAGCUUUCACCUGAAUUCAGGUGGGACCUAACGAUGGAAUAUUAUCACAAUAC